UACGUAGGGUGCAAGCGUUAAUCGGAAUUACUGGGCGUAAAGCGCACGCAGGCGGUUGGAUAAGUUAGAUGUGAAAGCCCCGGGCUCAACCUGGGAAUUGCAUUUAAAACUGUCCAGCUAGAGUCUUGUAGAGGGGGGUAGAAUUCCAGGUGUAGCGGUGAAAUGCGUAGAGAUCUGGAGGAAUACCGGUGGCGAAGGCGGCCCCCUGGACAAAGACUGACGCUCAGGUGCGAAAGCGUGGGGAGCAAACAGG
rnacentral:rRNA from 1 species